rnacentral:rRNA from 1 species
AUUGAACGCUGGCGGCAGGCCUAACACAUGCAAGUCGAGCGGCAGCGGAAAGUAGCUUGCUACUUUGCCGGCGAGCGGCGGACGGGUGAGUAAUGUCUGGGGAUCUGCCUGGUGGAGGGGGAUAACUACUGGAAACGGUAGCUAAUACCGCAUAACGUCGCAAGACCAAAGCGGGGGACCUUCGGGCCUCGCGCCAUCAGAUGAACCCAGAUGGGAUUAGCUAGUAGGUGGGGUAAUGGCUCACCUAGGCGACGAUCCCUAGCUGGUCUGAGAGGAUGACCAGCCACACUGGAACUGAGACACGGUCCAGACUCCUACGGGAGGCAGCAGUGGGGAAUAUUGCACAAUGGGCGCAAGCCUGAUGCAGCCAUGCCGCGUGUAUGAAGAAGGCCUUCGGGUUGUAAAGUACUUUCAGCGAGGAGGAAGGCGGUAAGGUUAAUAACCUUACUGAUUGACGUUACUCGCAGAAGAAGCACCGGCUAACUCCG